UUUCCCUGGUGAGAGAAGAGAGGAAAGAUAGAAAGGAAGCGAUCAACUGGAUUGGAAGGAGUUGGUGGACUCCACCAUGAAAGUUUCUUGUUUGUUGGACAAGAGGAAAAGAAAGUUCUUUGGAUUCUAGAAAGUGGGUGCAGUUAUAAAGUAGGUGCUUCCAUCUCCAAUCAAAUUCCACCUUUUUCUGGUCAAAGGAUUUGGGGAAGAUACAGCAUCAUUACUUUGUUCAUUUAUCUUUUUAGGCCUUUUAACAUAAUUGAAGAAUUGCAAAAUCUUUCAAGACCUUAACGUCGAAUAUUAAAGAUGAUUAAAUUGGAGUAUUUAAUUUCAAGAUUUAAUGGUACGAUAUUAGAAAAUAUGCAAAAUAUAUAUAUAUAUUUAUUUAUUUCUUAGUCAAAUAUAAAUAAUUUGGGUUUGUGUUUUUUUUGUUUUAACAUAUUAGUAUGAUUGAAUAGCUUUUUACCUUGGAUGGUAGAAUGUGUCCAUGUUUACAACUACAUUAGGAUAAACUAAAUCAGUGAAAGAAUGUUGAAUGGAGGAUUCGCAGUUGAGUCUUUCAAAAUGGGUAGGAGCAUGACCUUGAAAUAGUCAAAAUAAUGGAUCACUGAAGAUGUAUCAAGCGGCGAUGUGUGAUCGCGCAACCACUUUAAUAAUCAGUAGACUGUUCAUUUAUACAGAUACGAGUUUUAUGUUCAAAAGAAAGAUGGUCCGGAGAGGGAAGUAGAGAUUAAAAGUUAAAACAGAUAACUUGUGGGAGACAGGGAAAUCAAAUAGGUGUCAAAACCUGCAAGUUACAGCAACCAAAUCUUUCAAAAGGGUUUCUCGGUCAUCUCUGCUUCUGGUGCUGCUCCUAGGUAUAGAUAUGCUAUCGGAUUGAUCUGCUGCUGUUUCAAUCAACCAGGGCUUGCGUGCGGGAGCAGGAUUCGCUUUCCGAGAAGGGUGACCUUAGAACUUAAAUUACCCAUCCCCCUAUUCAACAACAGAGAUGGGAUUUGAUUCGAAUGAGGCUUUCCCGUCCCUUCGGUCAGUAAGCCCUCCCGCCGUAUGAAAGCAAUACUCUAACCACUGAGUUAAGUAGGUCAUUUAUCAUCCCAAAGUUAAACAUGAAAUCUUGCCUUUCUUUUUCCUUUAAAAAUAGAUACAAGUUAUUUACAAUUGAAUGAUUUUGAAUAGUUUAUUUGUAUUUAAUUCAAAGAAUUGUGCUUUACUUAAUUCGCAUUUAAACCUUUUUCUUCUUC